rnacentral:rRNA from 1 species
GUAAAAAGUCGUAACAAGGUCUCCGUUGGUGAACCAGCGGAGGGAUCAUUACAGAGUUUUCAACUCAUUAACCCUUUGUGAACUUAUUCCGCUCUGUUGCUUCGGCAGGCGGGUGCUGGCAAAAAAGAGUGCGGUUCUUCGGAGCGGCUCUUUUUAGGCGCCCCACUGGCCCCUGCGCUCCGGCGCUAGGGGUGUCUGCCGGAGGCCAUCUAGGCGCUGAUUUUUAUACUACGUGUAAAGAAGACUGUAGCAAUACAGUUGGAUUUUACUGUUUUUUCAGAACAAAAAACAAAUCAAAUUACAACUUUUAGCAAUGGAUCUCUUGGUUCUGACAUCGAUGAAGAACGCAGCGAAAUGCGAUACGUAAUGUGAAUUGCAGAUUUCAGUGAAUCAUCGAAUCUUUGAACGCACCUUGCGCCCGCUAGUAUUCUAGCGGGCAUGCCUAUUCGAGCGUCAUUUCUACCCUCAAGCUUCGGCUUGGUGUUGGAGGAUUUCUGCGUCUCUCGGGACAAGAAACCUCUGAAAUACAGCGGCGAUAGUGCUUCUGGCCGUCCCCUGCAAAGUAAAUUUCAUACUGGCAGUUUGGGAUCCAGGCACGAGUUAGCCUCUAAAAACCCCUAUUUUUCAAUA